UACAGAGGUCCCGAGCGUUGUUCGGAUUUAUUGGGCGUAAAGGGUGCGUAGGUGGCAAAGUAAGUUGGAUGUGAAAUCCUGGGGCUCAACCUCAGAAUUGCAUUCAAUACUGCUUAGCUAGAGAGCUGUAGAGGAGACUGGAAUUUACGGUGUAGCAGUGAAAUGCGUAGAUAUCGUAAGGAACGCCAGUGGCGAAGGCGAGUCUCUGGACAGUUACCGACGCUGAGGCACGAAGGUCAGGGGAGCAAACGGG
rnacentral:rRNA from 1 species